rnacentral:rRNA from 1 species
UACGUAGGGGGCAAGCGUUGUCCGGAAUCAUUGGGCGUAAAGAGCGUGUAGGCGGCCCGAUAAGUCCGCUGUGAAAGUCCAGGGCUCAACCCUGGGAUGCCGGUGGAUACUGUCGGGCUCGAGUCCGGAAGAGGAGUGUGGAAUUCCUGGUGUAGCGGUGAAAUGCGCAGAUAUCAGGAGGAACACCGAUGGCGAAGGCAGCACUCUGGGACGUGACUGACGCUGAGACGCGAAAGCGUGGGGAGCAAACAGG